UACGUAGGGUGCGAGCGUUAAUCGGAAUUACUGGGCGUAAAGCGUGCGCAGGCGGUUCGUUGUGUCGGUGGUGAAAUCCCCGGGCUUAACCUGGGAAUGGCCAUGGAAACUGGCGAACUGGAGUGCGGCAGAGGGGGGUGGAAUUCCGCGUGUAGCAGUGAAAUGCGUAGAGAUGUGGAGGAACACCAGUGGCGAAGGCGACUCUUUGGCCUGUAACUGACACUGAGGCGCGAAAGCGUGGGGAGCAAACAGG
rnacentral:rRNA from 1 species